rnacentral:rRNA from 1 species
GAUGAACGCUGGCGGCGUGCCUAAUACAUGCAAGUCGAGCGAACGGACGAGAAGCUUGCUUCUCUGAUGUUAGCGGCGGACGGGUGAGUAACACGUGGAUAACCUACCUAUAAGACUGGGAUAACUUCGGGAAACCGUAGCUAAUACCGGAUAAUAUUUUGAACCGCAUGGUUCAAAAGUGAAAGACGGUCUUGCUGUCACUUAUAGAUGGAUCCGCGCUGCAUUAGCUAGUUGGUAAGGUAACGGCUUACCAAGGCAACGAUGGAUAGCCGACCUGAGAGGGUGAUCGGCCACACUGGAACUGAGACAGGGUCCAGACUCCUACGGGAGGCAGCAGUAGGGAAUCUUCGGCAAUGGGCGAAAGCCUGACGGAGCAACGCCGCGUGAGUGAUGAAGGUCUGCGGAUCGUAAAACUCUGUUAUUAGGGAAGAACAUAUGUGUAAGUAACUGUGCACAUCUUGACGGUACCUAAUCAGAAAGCCACGGCUAACUACGUG